GCAGAGGACAGCACAGAUGGAGUAGCAGGGGCAACUUCUGCGCCGCUCGGUCUCUCCAACACAGAUGGAGUAGCAGCGGCCAUUUCUGCCCCGCUCGGUCUCUCCAACACAGAUGGAGUAGCAGCGGACACUUUUGCCCCGCUCGGUCUCUCCAAUGCAGAUGGAGUAGGAGUGGAAACUUCUGCCCCGCUCGGUCUCUCCAGUGCAGAUGGAGUAGCAGUGGACACUUUUGCCCCGCUCGGUCUCUCUGAGACCUUUCAAAGUCACCAAAGAUCAGCAAGCGGUGCUGAGCAAAGGGUCAUGAGACAACUUGAGCGACAGCUUUCUUUGCUAGAAAAGCUCUUUGGGGACUUCUCUGAGUUGCAAAGAAGGCAGCAAGAACUGUUGUCUCAGAAGCAGGAGAAAGGCAAAAGAAAAGCUCAAAGGCAAGAGAGAGAACUGCAGCAAUUGAAAGAAAUGCUCCAGGAGAAGACAUUGGCUUUAGAAACCAUCGAAAAAGCUCUUUCCCAGGCCCAAAGGCAGGCAAAGGAACGUUGUGCUCCACACCUUGCAAGAAGUGAACCAAGAGAAGAAAUCCUGAGAUUUCUCAUGCAGAGAAGGAGGUUCUGCAGGAACAAGUGGCCCAGCUCCAAAGUGAAAACCUUUCACUCCGUCAGAAGCUGGAAGGCGUGCAGAAGACCACUCAGGAAAGACUGAGAACAGCCGGACAGCUGCAACGAGAACUUGCUGAGGCUGUCGGAAAGCAGCAGCUUGCAGAAGCAUCCCUGAAAACUUACGCCGACUUCUGCGACACACUGAAGAAAGAAAACUCCAAAUUGCAACAGGACUUGGACAAGGCUAAUGCCAAGGUGCGUGACCUUUCUGCACGGCUGGAGGUGGAACUCUCAAAGUCGCUGCUGCAAGAAAGGGCAAAUAAGGGGCUAAAAGUGAAGGUGGCUGUUCUCCAGCAUCGCUUGGAGGCUGCAGUGGCAGAUUAUAACGCAUUGGUGCAGAGUGAAAUGCAGCAUCAAGGAAAAACGCAAGAGGAACUUGCCAAGAGUUUCAGAAAGCAGCAGAAUUCAGAAACAUCUCUGAAGCACUCUGAAGAUUACUGCUGUUACCUGGAGAAUGGCAUCUUGAUACUGAAUGAAGACUCGGACAAGCCUAAUGCCAAGGUGCUUGAGCUUUCCGCACAGCUGGAGGUGGAACGCCAAAAGUCCCUGCGGCUAGAAGGGGCAAAUCAGGAGCUGCGAGAGCUGUUUCUCCAGUGUCGCCCACAGACCACUGCAGCAGGUUAUAGCCCAUUCUCACAGAAUGGAAGAUGGCACGAAGAGCGAGCCCAAAAAGAAAUGGGACAGAAGCAAGGGCCCGGCCUCCCUUUUCCAGCAGCUUCUCAAAGCAGACUAGAGGAGACCAAUGCCAAAGAAGCAAUGCUUAGAAAGCAGCAGGAGCAGCGAACUGCAGCUCUGACAUCAGAAAUGGACAGAACCCAAAGCACGCAUCAGGCAAGGCGGCAAAUAGCAGACUGUGGAGAAGAACUAGACCUGUCAGAAAAACCAUUCCCAAUGGAUGAGAACAUUAGAAGAGGCCUUGCAAAGAUAUCAGACAAACCCAAUGAGAUGCUACCAGUGGGCAAGGACAAAGGCCUCAGGAAGACCCACAAAGAAACUUCUCUGUUGCGUGGCCAACAACUCGGAGCAACACCAAGAAAAAACAGACCUGCAUUACAUGCAUGUAAGCAGCUUUACCUUCUGUUCUUCAGUGGCCAGGUCUUUCAGAGAUGGGAUUAUUCCCCGUGUGUAGGCUGUGGAAUUUCCUUUGCCACCUUCAGAAAGCUAGCUGCCUGGUAG
ensembl:lncRNA uncharacterized LOC110396828